CAGCAGCCGCGGUAAUACCGGCGGCCCGAGUGGCGGUCACUAUUAUUGGGCUUAAAGCGUCCGUAGCCGGGUUGGGAAGGCCUCCGGGAAAUCUGGCCGCUUAACGGUCAGAAUGCCGGAGGAUACUCCCAGCCUAGGGAGCGGGAGAGGCCGGGGGGAUUCCCGGGGUAGGGGGGAAAUCCAAUAAUCCCGGGAGGACCACCUGUGGCGAAGGCGCUCGGCUGGAACGCGUCCGACGGUGAGGGACGAAGGCCAGGGGAGCAAACCGGAUUAGAUACCCGGGUAGUCCUGGCUGUAAACGAUGCGGACUUUGUGUCGGACAAGCUAUGAGCUUGUCCGGUGCCGGAGGGAAACCGUUAAGUCCGCCGCCUGGGGAGUACGGCCGCAAGGCUGAAACUUAAAGGAAUUGGCGGG
rnacentral:rRNA from 1 species